UACGGGGGGGGCAAGCGUUGUUCGGAAUUACUGGGCGUAAAGGGCUCGUAGGUGGCCAACUAAGUCAGACGUGAAAUCCCUCAGCUUAACUGGGGAACUGCGUCUGAUACUGGAUGGCUUGAGUUUGGGAGAGGGACGCGGAAUUCCAGGUGUUGCGGUGAAAUUCGUAGAUAUUAGGAAGAACACCAGUGGCGAAGGCGGCUCACUGGUCCGGUACUGACGCUGAGGUGCGAAAGCGUGGGGAGCAAACAGG
rnacentral:rRNA from 1 species